GGGAAGGUCUCCUCUUACCUCCCCCCUCCUCCCCUUCCGCCCAGGGACUUGAUGCAUAAGCAGGAGCCAUUUUGUGUACGGCUCGUCUUCUGCGUGGAAGCGCUCGGCGGUGAAGAGGUGGUUAAAAUGUCCAAGGGUGGCCCCGGGCUCGCUGAGUGAAGUGAGUGGUUGACGCUCGAUGUGCCAGGAAGGUCCCGUUCAUCAGGGCUGGGUGGAUGCAGCUGGUGGCGACCGCUGAGCCUUCUCUGGGAAGAGGGCCUUUUGGUGAUUUCUGACCAAACUCUCGAAGUCUGAGUGUGCAGGAGGCUGUUGCUGAGAGGGGACUUCAGGGAGCAGUGGCAGAGCUGAGAGACAGGAGUGGAGGAUGACUCAGCAGGGAGCUGUUCUUCAGGGUUACAAUAAUGAACUUGUGAAGUGUAUUGAAGACUUGUGUAUUCAAAAAGAAGAGCUGAACAGACAAAUCCAACAAGCAGAAGAGGAAAAAAAUAAACUCCAGCACGAAAUCCAAGUCCUGAAAGAUCAACUGGACUGUGUAUGUGAAAACCUGGCCCAAAAGGUAGCUUCACGGAAUGAGCUUGAUAAAAUUCUUGCUGAAACUGAAGCUGCUUACAUGAAGAUUUUGGAUAGUUCUAGAACUUUACUUAAUGUCCUGAAGAAGGAAGUGGGAAGCUUAAAGCAUACACCAGAACUGAAAACCAAUGUAACGUGAAACGGUCAAAUGUUUGGACUCCACAGUGCUAAAAUUCCACUAGGUGAGAAAUGUGGUUAGCCACAGAACCUUACAACAAUGUAUAAGCAGAGAGGGAUUUUCUUCUGACCGUUCUCUGUGUUUUAUUAUUAUUUUUUAAUGCACUAGAAAAUAGAUGAAAUAAAGUUGAUGUUUUGCUGUUAAAAAUAA